CUGCAGUGUAGCUCAAUUUGCUCUGGGAACACAGAGCAAGAAGCCUUGCCCUCCAUGAAGUUGGGCACGAUUUUUUUAGAGGCAGAGGGAUUGACCCCUGAUGGAUCCAUGCGAGGACGAAAUGAGCAAAAAGGUAUUUAAAGCAUAUUCCAGGUAAAAUAAAAGCCGUGUUUUCCCACAUCUGUUUCGCACAUUCCUACAUUAAACAUCUGCCGUUCAAGGGCUUUGGAUGUGCUAGACCCCAUUGUCGGUGUUUUAUGUCUUGUCUUACUGAUUUCUAAUAAAGCACUGAAGGGCAAGUACUUCGUCUAUAGAUAAGGAUCCUCGUCUAUAGAUAAGGAAACUGAGGCCCAGAGACGUGACGUGCGGUGUUCCAGAACACACAGCCAGGGUCGGAGGCCGGGGACGUUGACUCCAGAGGGGCUCUCCUGACACUCCGUGAGGAUAAAGAGAUGAGAGAGAAUGCACACAAGCAGGGGAAGCAGCGGAGAGAGAGGAGAGAGAGAGAAGAUGACCACCUCCCUGAGCAGAGAGUCUGAUGCAGGGCUGGGAGCCAAGACCCCUGGAUCAUGACCUGAGUUGAAGGCAGAAGGCAGAUGCCCAAACGACUGAGCCACUCAGGAUAACGAAAGUGUCUGAGGAUCUGCCGUGGCUUUGCAGCCUGUGAUCCUCUUACUCCGGGAUUCUGGAUAAAGAAGCAGAUUUUAUUUGAAACAUGUCAUUUUCACGCCUAGAGGAAAAGAGGAAGAGAUACUCACCAUGGCUCUUAAAGCUUCUGCUUGGAUGUCGCACGAGUCAUAGAUGCUGUCGACUAAAGCAAAUCACGUGGCUAAGAGUGACAUCAAUGAGGCAGGAAGAUGUACUUCUUCCACAAAUCCCUGCAGCUUCCUUGGCAAUGGUGGGUCUGGGAUGCCUCCAGAAUCCAUUCCUACUUCCAUGAUUCAAAUCGGGACUCUUCCAGCCCUGAAGAAUACAUCUGGAUUUCCUUCUUCCUGUUGUUGCUGUGCACUCAGGAUAGAAAAAAAAAUUUAAUGUAUUAUUUGCAUAAGCAGAGAAAAUUUAGAAAGGUCAACGUUCUAAAAGAUAAGCAUUAUAAUACAGUUCACAACUGGAGACUCACACAAAUAUUGCUCAAUACUCC
rnacentral:lncRNA from 1 species